CUACGGGUUGCUGCAGUGAGGAAUAUUGCACAAUGGGGGGAACCCUGAUGCAGCAACGCCGCGUGGAGGAUGACGCAUUUCGGUGUGUAAACUCCUUUUAUAUGUCAAGAAAAUGACGGUAGCAUAUGAAUAAGCGCCGGCUAACUCCGUGCCAGCAGCCGCGGUAAUACGGAGGGCGCAAGCGUUACUCGGAAUCACUGGGCGUAAAGGACGCGUAGGCGGGUUGAAAAGUCAGGUGUGAAAGCCUACAGCUUAACUGUAGAACUGCACUUGAAACUUCUAAUCUAGAGUAUGGGAGGGGGAGAUGGAAUUAGUGGUGUAGGGGUAAAAUCCGUAGAUAUCACUAGGAAUACCUAAAGCGAAGGCGAUCUCCUGGAACAUUACUGACGCUAAGGCGUGAAAGCGUGGGGAGCAAACAGGAUUAGAUACCCUGGUAGUC
rnacentral:rRNA from 1 species